UGUGUGUGUGUGUGUGUGUGUGUGUGUGUGUGUGUGUGUGUGUGUGUGUGCGCGUGUGUGUGUGUGUGUGUGUGUGUGUGUGUGUGUGUGUGUGUGUGCGAGGACGUGGCGCCAUCUGUUGAUUAAACAAGUAAUACAUCUCCACAUGAUGUUGCCAUGGUACCAGAAUGCAAACGGGAAACGCGGAUCUACAAGUGAGGUGAAAUGUUCCCGUGUUAAAUGUUUGACAUGAAAAUAGGUUUAAAACUUCAUUUUACCUGCGUUACCUCAGUUUUACCUCAGAAUGUCUUCAGUAACUUCAGUGCAAAAGGAUGCCUGUAGUGGGAAGAAGACAGAACGCAACCCGUUUAAGGUUCCUGAUGACAGUGACAUCUUUCACCUCAGAAACACAGAGAAAGCUCAACGAAAAC